ensembl:lncRNA
UACUACACCCAAAGCUUCUACAUUUUUAUCAGUGACAUCAGCAUUGCCAGCAACUGCAUCGAGCAUGACCACAGCAGCAACCAUUAGCAAUGAACCAGAAUCAACCAAGACUACAAUAGCUCAGGUUUCAUCUACUGUGAUACAUUCUGUGGCAGUAGAUACAAUUACAACAUCAACAACAAGCUUAGUAAAGUCUGCUACUGCACCAAAAGCUUCAACCUUUGUUCCAUUGACAUCAGCAUUGCCAGCAAUUGCAUCAAGGACAACAGCAGCAGCAACUGUUAGAAAUAAACCAGAAUCAACCAAAACUACUCUAGCUAAGGGUUCAUCUACUGUAUUCAAUUCUACAACUGUAUAUACAACAAUGUCGACAACAACAACAACACUAACGUCAGUAAAGCCAGUAACAGAGGCUCAUACCUCAUAUGUGUCCACCACUGUAGCACCAACAACAGAGGGCACAAAUACUGAUCCUCCUACCCUUGACGAGGGAAGCAUACACUUAAGAUACAGUCUAAAUGAAACUUUCAGUGAAAGUUAUAACAACCACUCAUCCCUUGAAUUCAUUGCAUUGGCCUCCCAUGUGGUAACUGUGAUAAACAGAAUUUACAGGGCAAGCAAUCUCAGAGGAUACAGGCGAUGCAGAGUCAACUCUUUCGUGAGGGGCUCCAUUAAAGUUGAUAUGACUCUUAUCUUUGAGAAUUCUUCUAUAGUCCCAAGCCCAUUUGAGGUAGAGAAAAUUCUUAAUGGAACUGCUGUGAAUGGUACCAUACCUUUGGACAUCAUACUUGAUACUAUCAAAGCAGGGGAAGUAGUUACUUCUAGUACACCACCGCCUGCCACAAAUGCAACUUUUGAAUCUACCACCAUGAAAUCGAGUACCACAUCGAGUACCAAUGAGUAUACAAACACCACGUCUAGUGCCUUUCCAUGGAUGGUACACUGUUCACUAAUGACUAUAUCUCCAGCUAUUACUGUUUUAUUAGCACAAACUUUGAUGUUUUUGUAAUUUAAAGUGUACUAGGAAAGUUCACAAAAGAAAUAAAAUGAAGGAUGCUUUUUUUAAUAUAAUAUUU